AUGGAUUUAUUGUGUCUGGGUUUAUUCACACUGGCUUUGCUGGCACAGACUCCAAGUGUCACUACUGCUGAUCCACUCAACACAACUACAGCUGCCACCCCGGCCACCACAUCUACGACUGCCACCCCGGCCACCACAACUACGACUGCCACCCCGGCCACCACAACUACGACUGCCACCCCGGCCACCACAACUACAACUACCAAACAGCCUGCCACCACCACCACCACUACAGCUACCACCACCACCACCACCACUACAACUACCAAACAGCCUGCCACCACCACUACAACUACCAAACAGCCUGCCACCACCACUACAGCUACCACUACCAAACAGGCCAACACCAAUACCACUGGCACUCCAGCCGCCAACAGUACAACUGCUAUCCCAGCCAACGCCACCACAGCUGCCACACAGGACAACACUACAACUCUAACCCAAAACAUCACAACAACAGUGACUACCACCACUGCAAAUGGAGGCUCGGAGGUGAAAGCUUCUGUGCUUUGUCUUGUUUUUCCACUCUUGCUCUACAUGCCUUGUGUUUAA
rnacentral:lncRNA from 1 species